UGUAGAAACAAGCCUUGAUCUGGAAGGCACCUCCCUGUCAGUCCCCAGGGCAGAUCUGGAGGCUGUCCCCAGCCUGCCCUGCAGCCACCCCCAGCUCCAGCCACUGCAGGACAGGCUCCUGCGGAGGGCUGCCCUCCUGCCGCCGGUGGGAGACCUUGCAGAAGAGGCUGCAGGAGCCUCUGCCGUUACAUCUGCAUUCAGUCUUUGCCCAGACACAGGAUGAAGAAUUUCUCCUCUCAGGAGAUUCAUGGGAUCCCACCUGUGGCUGUCUCUGUGUUUGUAAAUCCUGGGUCUGGACUAACAUGAUAUUCAGGGAUCCAGUCCGAAGAGCUCCUGAUGCAGUUCUGCUCUCCUCCUCUGCCUCUCCCAAGGGAAGGCAGGUCUUGACCACACACACUGACAAUACAGGACCUCUGCCUUGAACUUUGUGCCUCAGACUUCAGCUUUGUGAGCCCUUAGAUGGCCCUUCUGCAGCUGCAUCAGGCCACACACAGUCCCAAGUCUCUGCUGGGAGGUGACAGGCACAGACCUGGCACUGGAUCCGUGAAUAUUUCUCCUCUGCAAAGUCAAACAGGCCAAAAAUAAAUGCUAGUGAAGGAAUAAACAGACGUGAAAAGAAGGCUUGGACUUGGAAGACAAGACUGCUUUGUGUUUCCCAAAGCAAAGAGCCUGUUCACAAGGAGGUUACUCUUGUAAAAAAACACGAGUCCUGUGACACUGCCAAGGAGCCCUAGGCAAGGACCUACAGCACUUACUGUCCUACCGACAUGGAAGAAAAUCAGAUGAGCCCCUGCCCCAGGGGGACGACGACAGCCCCAGCAGCCAGAGCACACCCCAGUUUCCUUUCAGAAACAAAAAUUGAAAACAAAUUGUCCUAUACACAAAACAAAGGGACAGAUCCUCAGCUGGAAUGGACUGGUAUAACCAAAUGAGUAACACCCACUCACAGGAGAGACUUUUAACAACAGCCGCUGAUCCUGCUCUGCCCAGAAGAGAGAGAUCUUCGGCCCUGGGUUUUAGAUGGCAGCAGCGUUGACUCUAGGUAGCUUGAAAAAGAUGAAGGGCUGCCUUCAGAGAAGCUGAAAAGGCACCAGGGCUCCAAGGACUCUGCACUGUAUGCUUCCCAAACCUGGAACUGACUCCAAGUGCAUGAGCCAGUGGACACAACAGCAACAAAAUAACUGAUACCAGCAUGGCCCUGAAAUUAAUGAGCUGCUUUGGAGAACUGCUGGCAAAGCAGGCUUCCAGAAACCACUUACAUGUGGGGUUUACUUUCUGGAGAGAGGCUUGUCUCAGAUUUUUCUCUCAAAAACCAAGACAGGGCUGAUCACUGUCUUGAAAAUGACAUGAGAGAUCCCCAAGAAAAUAUUAACUGUACAGUACAGGAGAACGAAUGCAUGACUAAUUGUGAUCCAUCCCAGCCAGUCCUGCCCCCGAGAGAGACUGCAGCACAGCACAAUUGCACCCGGCGUUUGGGAAAUGCCGUUAGCCGUGAACAAGUUACUAAGAGCAGCAGUUAUUGGCUUUGGGUCCUGCCAGCACAAACUAUGACUCUCAUUGGGCUGUCCUUUGUGCAGACCCAAGCACGCUCCAGAAGCACCCAUGUAAGCCAGGUUCAUUAGUCUCCUUCACCCAAAAAGAAAACAACAAAAAUACACACACUAGGAAAAUUCCGGAAGCCUCUCACUUUGCCAAGAACAGACGACAUCGCCGCUGCUGCUGUCGCCAGCAGAGAGAGCGGCCCAGCUCCCUGUCCUCGGGAUCCAGCGGAGGCCCCUGGAGGACCCAAUGCACAGGAGGGUGCACUGCGCUGGGACCGAAAGUGAACAAACGCCUGCGCACCAGUGGAUGAGCACCCAUCCCCUGGGGCUGACAAGGGGUGUGGAUUUACACAAGGGGGAAAGGAGAGAAGUGCUCAGUCACCAUGUCCGUCCCGUUCAUCUCCAGCGCACUGCACAGGCCACGUGCAAGAGGCACAGGGAGCCCUCGUGC